rnacentral:rRNA from 1 species
AUUGAACGCUGGCGGCAGGCCUAACACAUGCAAGUAGAGCGGAGCGGCGGACGGGUGAGUCAUGCAUAGGAAUCUGCCUGGUAGUGGGGGAUAACGUCCGGAAACGGGCGCUAAUACCGCAUACUAUCAGAUAAGCCUAGGUCGGAUUAGCUAGCUGGUGGGGUAAAGGCCUACCAAGGCGACGAUCCGUAACUGGGCUGAGAGUAUGAUCAGUCACAGUGGAACUGAGACACGGUCCAGACUCCUACGGUAGGCAGCAGUGGGGAAUAUUGGGCAAGUGGCGAAGGCCUGAUCCAGCCAUGCCGCGUGGGUUAAGAAGGUCUUCGGAUUGUAAAGCACUUUAAGUUGGGAGGCGUUACCAACAGAAUAAGCACCGGCUAACUUCGUGCCAGCAGCCGCGGUAAUAC